GACGAACGCUGGCGGCGUGCCUAAUACAUGCAAGUUGAGCGCUGAAGGUUGGUACUUGUACCAACUGGAUGAGCAGCGAACGGGUGAGUAACGCGUGGGGAAUCUGCCUUUGAGCGGGGGACAACAUUUGGAAACGAAUGCUAAUACCGCAUAAAAACUUUAAACACAAGUUUUAAGUUUGAAAGAUGCAAUUGCAUCACUCAAAGAUGAUCCCGCGUUGUAUUAGCUAGUUGGUGAGGUAAAGGCUCACCAAGGCGAUGAUACAUAGCCGACCUGAGAGGGGGAUCGGCCACAUUGGGACUGAGACACGGCCCAAACGCCUACGGGAGGCAGCAGUAGGGAAUCUUCGGCAAGGGACGAAAGUCUGACCGAGCAACGCCGCGUGAGUGAAGAAGGGUUUCGGAUCGUAAAACUCUGUUGGUAGAGAAGAACGUUGGUGAGAGUGGAAAGCUCAUCAAGUGACGGUAACUACCCAGAAAGGGACGGCUAACUACGUG
rnacentral:rRNA from 1 species